AAAUGAGCAGUCUUCAGGAGAGGAGUCGGUAGAUGCGUCUGUGAACCUGAUGCUUUUGUGUAAACAACAAGACGAAGCUACAGUGUCCGACCUGAGAUGACCUGGUACCCCAACAACUUCGGACUGCCCUUUUUACCAGGGUACACUUUCCGGGACCUGUCGCAAACCAAAUUCCACCGAGCCCAGACUCUGGAGUACAAGAACGGCUAUGCUCUGCCGCAGUGCCUCUUGCAGGGAAUCGGAAAGGACACCCUGUUAACUGAGGAGCAGAUCCACCAUGAGAUGACUCUGCUGUCCAAGGAGACGUCCAACUUCAUGUACGGCGGUUUUGACGACAGAGUGUACGAUGAAUUCAUCCCCGCUCAUGUCAUCCUUGACAAAAAGGUGCUGAGGUUCUUCGCCAAUUUUAAGGAGGACAUCCAGCACUCUUCAGACGAGGUGUACCGAGUACGCCCGGUGGUCAUCUACUACUUCCUGGAGGACGACAGCAUGAGCAUCUAUGAGCCAGCAGUGGAGAACUCCGGGAUUCCUCAGGGGAAGCGGCUCAAGCGCCAGCGGGUUCCCAAGAAUAAGAGUGGAGCUUUUUACGACUGGAAAGAUCUGAACCUCAGUAUCGAUCUGGACGUGUACGGCGUCAAGUAUCGGGUCACCCAGUGCGAUACGUUCACCAAGAACUUCAUGAAGAGUCAGGGAAUCACGCUGAACGAACCCGAGCCCAUGCCGCUGGAUCCUUACACCAGCUACCGCAGGGAGAGGGAGCCGUUCCACAUCUCGCCUUCGGACUUGGACCGCCUGCAACGAUCUUUGGUCGUAGACAAACGGGUGCUGCGUUUCUACGCCAUGAUGGACGACAUGGACACCCAGUUCGGCGAGAGCAGACCCGUCAUCAUCUGCUACUACCUGGUGGACGACACGGUGGAGAUCAAGAAGGACUUUGAACGCACCACUCGCAGAGAUCACUUCCCCGUGCUGCUGCGCAGACAGAGGCUUCCCAAGAAGAUGAAGCCGGAGUGUGACGCCAUCCCCCGCUGCAUGCUGGACCACUCCCCCGCAGAGGUGGAGGAGUACUACUCCCCCGAAGACUUCCAGGUCGGCCAGUCCAUGGCCAUACUGGGGCGCCGUUUUGUUCUCUGCAGCUGUGACGACUUCACCGAGAAGUACUACCGGAGGUGCUAUCCAGAAAUCCCCAUGAGGAACAUUGAGGUGGCGAAGAAGAAGGACUUUGUUCCACAAAGCGUGGUCCCGUCCUACAUGGACCUGGGGACACUUGAGGAUUCCUUCCAGUUCUGCUUGUCCCGCCUGCCGAGUCUUUCCAAAGGCAACAUGCAGAACAUGCUGGACAAUGAGCAACAAGUCCUGCGCUACACCGCCAAGCUGGACUCACAGGACCCCAGAGAUCAAGACAGGCGUUUCUUGCUGUCCUACAACCUGUCCAAGGACACCAUGGACAUUUUUGAGAAGCCCAGUCUCACCACUGGAGUGGUGGGAGACAUGCUGAUGCAGAACACGACCAUCCCCAAACCUGGGACCAGAGAGUUCUACACUCCAAUGGACCUCAACGUUGGCACCACUGUGGAGGCUCUCGACCAGCGCUUCGUGUUGACGGGCGCCGACCACUACGUGGUCUCGGCACAGGACGUGUAUGAGAACGGAAAGAUCCCCUCCACCUGAAGACACAGCGGUAAAACCCACUCAGCAUUCUGAGCUCGAAGCACGGAGGUUGUUGAAGCUUUGGCAGCUGCUAUUCAUGUGUAAUAUUUAAUAAGUAGAUGGUUCCUGUUGAGUCAGUAAGUUUUUCACCCUCGCACUUCCAACUGCAACAAUAGGCACAUGUUCCAAAUAAAAGGCCGAACACUAUGCUGCUUACUUAUUUAACAUCUUUUUUUUUUUUAAUCAACUUUGGGUCCAGAAUAUAAUAGUAAUAUUUUUGCUACUGUUGCACGUACAGUUUGGUGUGUUGAUUUGAUCUCAUUAUUUAUUUAUUUUUUUCUUUGUUAGUUUUUUAUAUUAAUUUUUAAUGUAAAAUUAUCCACCAUUUUUUAUUUAUUUAUUUAUUUUUGCUAAAUAUUGUCUUUACAUCUUAAGUUAUGACCUUAUUUUAUUUUUAUUUGUGUAUUUUGUUCAUUAUUGCACGAUGCACCGAAGCACAUUCCCAGUUGGUGGAAUCCUCGCCGUCAAUCUUUUUAGCUCUGAUUCUGAUCAACAAGAAAUAUCUCUUACGCCCCCUGCUGGUUCAGAACUGGCUUCGGCUCUACAUCUAGAGGAGACAGUUCUCAACUCUGGAACGAUCUAGCAGAGAGGAUCUGAAAGUUCACAGGCUUUUAUAUAUGGAAUAUCUUCAAAACAGUUUCUCCGCUGUAACACACUCUGUGAUCAACGAUUUAUGAAGUGCUAUAUUAAUAAAUUAUUAAUACAUAAUAUGCAUGUUUAUGUUUAUGCAUAAACAUGUUUGUACAUGUUCAUAUGUUUACCUUCCUUAGUGCUUAAUAAAGGGACAAACAUACACAUUACUUUGAUGUUUUCUUUCCAGCACAUUAAACUUGAAAUUGGCGGUUCACUAGUUUCAAACUACUACGUGAUUUUCCCAAGCUACUUGUGACGCAAACGUCAACAUUUCCAGGUUUCGUUUACCUCUCUAAACCUUAGUUCAUGUUCAAAACAUACCACACAAGCCGGCACUCAUUUGUGAAAAUGGCAUAUUUAAUAAGUAAUUAACAAAAAUAGAGAAGAUAUGGAAUGACAUGCGGGAAUAUACAAUGCACUGGAUGACUGGAAGGUGAGUACUGAGGAGAGUUGGAAGACGCCCAGUGAUGCAGGACACAGGUCCAGAUCCCUUUUUGUGUGUACUGGCUGAGUGACCCAGAAGAGAGCGGCGCUCCUACAGUAGCUCCUGUCUCAGUCACGGCACGUGCAGGUGGACCUGGCACCAAGGAGCGAGCUGGCUCAACAUGAAAACAACAGGUACAGUACUUGAGUUGUGUGCAAAACACCUGUUACUUGUCAUUGUCAGAGGAGAAAAUACUGAUGAUGAUGAUGAUGAUAGAGAGUUUUAUCCGUUUGAUUUCCAGCAUACAAGUCUUCAGUCCUGGACCGUCUCAGAACAGAGUCGGUCCGAGUGUGGAUGGCAGCGGCGGCCGACUCCCCCCGGUUGUGCUGAUGAGCGACCUUCAGCAGGGCCAAGGUCACAGUUCAGGGAGCCCUCCUGAGCAACAGCACUCGCCUUAUCAGAACCGUGUUGAAGUUCCCCGUCUCCAGGUCGAAGCCUUGGUUCUCGGAGCGAGCCAGACCGAAGCCGACGGCGAGGAACAUCAGCGUCAGCGUGAACAUCCUGGUGAAGACGAAGCUGACGGCCCAGACGUCGAACCUGGAGCGGACGGGAGCUUCACAGUAGAAGAGCCGGGCGAUGUGGAAGCCCAGUUCCGACACGUACUGGAGGAAGAGCAGCACCAGACCCACCCGACUCAAGCUGCGGACAGAAGGUGACACGCGUUUAUCAGACCGGUUCAAGCGGUUCUGAGUGAAGUCUCUCGGCUUCUUUUCAUUUCCCUGCCUCCAUUUUUAUCAGGCUAUUUUCAGCUUCACCCUGACGGCACCUAAAAAUACUCACUUUAACAAAUAGGCCGCAGCGACGUGCAGCAGGUAGAGGCAGAUGUACUGCAGCUGCCGGGAGAUCUCCUCCUGCAGACACACACACACCACUUGUCAGCACAAAGAAGGCGCUUGUCUGGGAGGACGCCAGAACUCCUCCGCUUCCCGGGUCACUGACCUUGCGUACUUUCUGGAAGUAAAGCUCGGGCAGCGCGUGAAGCCAGUAAGCUAUCUGAGUGAGGUAGAAGAACUUCACCUGGAACCUGCAGCACACACACAGUUGGAGACCUCCAUUUUCAGGUGAAUGACGCCGUUCGACAAAACUGACCUGAGGUGCACGUGAGGGUAGUUCUCCCAAAGGCUGCUGGGAUGCAACAGAUACCCCUCCUGCACGAUAAAACCAGACUCCAAGUUAGCAUUGUGAUACAGUGACGCUGGCUUGCAGAGUAACGUGGGGCGAGAAGAAGAGACGUUUCAGGGCUUCACAAGGGUAAAAAUGCUGGUCCAGCUAGUUAUUAAAAUGAAUACUUUUGUAUUGCAUUAUAAACCUUUUAUUUUCGCAUUAUACAUUAUAUUUUUUAUUCAAUUAUUUGAGUCACUUGCCAUUAUUUUGUGACGCCAGAUUAUUAUUUUAAAUGAUAGCAUUUCAUUUUUUUACCUUUUGAUCGAGCAUUUUAGCACACUCCUCUUAUUUUACAUAAUUAAUAUUAAUAUCAUGUAUUGUUUCUGAACACUGUAUGUUGACUUAUUUCUACUUAUUUGGGGACAUUUUAACCCUCAGUGUUGCAGAGUUUCUGUCACACAAAACAAUACUUGCAGAAAAUAUAUGUAUAAAUCUGAUGUACAAUAUUUUUAUGCUAUUAUUAUGAGUCGAUUUAUUUAAAAAAAUCAACCUAUUUUUGUUUAAACUUUUGCCACAAUACGUACUUUUUCCCCCACCAACAGUGAUUCAUUAUCCAUCAAUAAUAAUAAUAACAAAAUACAAGUUAUCAGUUCUGUGAGUAAAUAUGGGACCCACUCACAGACGUCACUCGUGGUUUAUAAUAAUAAUAAUAUUGACCAUAAAGCUUGACUGUAUUUUGCUGCUGCGGAGCGUCACUCACAGUGAUGAGCACGUAGAAGCUCCACACACUGGACACCAGGUGGAAGACGCACAGCUGACCCGACUCGUUGAACUUGGUGUUCUUGCUCUUGGAGAGGUGAAGACGGCGGUUGAUUUUCUGCAGAACAAAAACAAGUCACGGCUUGGCAGCGCUCCACAAACGUGACACAGAUAAAAAUAACUGCAGGGAGGAAAAGACAAUCGAUUCUAUUUUGGGUCUGAGCUCAAGUGGCUCUGCCUGAAAGACGGCUCCGAGACGCUGGCACUGACCCGCUUUCAGGCCUCAGGUUGGAUUUCACUCAUCAUUCAGCGCCGGUUGAAACCUCAACGAUUGGUUUUCAACAGAAAACGCUGAACUUUGGUCAGCUCAGCACAGAACUGCUGAAGAACUUCAUCACAAGCUAAACACAACACACCAUUUAUGAUCAUAUAUUCUGUAAAUCAAUAAACACUUCACAUGCUGAACUUCAAGUUACACGCUAGCUUUCAUCAUUCACCAUUCAUUUUACAUUUUUUAUGCAUAAAAUUUCUGAUCAUUUUUUUUUUUUUUGUAUUUUUGUAUCCAUUUUACCCAUUUUUUAAACUUGAUUUUAAUGAUAUUUUCAGACAACUCACUAAGGCCAACACUUUAAUUCCACAAAUCCAAGUAAACAAAAACACUUUUAUACUUAUAGAGAAAGUCUGUGUAUAUUAAGGUCAUUUUUUUUCUAAUUUUACUUUUGAAUAAAGCCAAACCUGUUUAAAAGAAAAAUAAAUAAAUAAUUCACCAUAAAUUCUACAUAUUUUAUAACUUUAUUCACAUAUUUAGUUUUAAAAUACUGUAGAUGAUGAAAGGUAAUUUAAAUGUUGCACAUUUACUAGUUUUUUUCUCACUUUUUGAUAUGUAGUUAGGCAACUUAAUAAUAAUAAUAAUUUCCAGACGGCCACGUUUGUGUUUGCAACUCACGUCCAGCAGGUACUCCUGCACGACAGCGUGGAGGAUGAUGGCGAUGAAGAAGUAGAAGAGGAUGGUGGCGCAGUCCUUCCAUCCGUAAUGGUACAAGGUCAGCUCUCCCUCUGCCGACACAUCGAGCAGCAGCUGUUAGACUUUCGGACGUCCAUGAGAGCAGAAGUGAGAAGACAAACCUGGCGACUGUGUGGUGACGUUGUACUGAGGCUGGAUGAACAAUAUGGCAGUCUUGGCUGUGGCCUGGACACAGGAGAUUAGACUUAGACCCACUGGAGUGGCCUCGUGAGGCGCCAAAUAACAGUGAGAGAGGUGAAGUCUGGGUGUGAGGAAGAGGAUGAGAAGCAAAUCACGAUACUUGAGAAUGACUCGUGCUUUCCUGCUUCCUCUUUUUUGGCUGUGUGAUGACUUUAAUUCAGUUUGAUGACCAAACUAACAUCAUGGUGAAAUACAGAUAACGGACUCAUAAGUCACAUAAAGCUCAAUACCACAGAGGAUUCUCUGUUGACGUUGCUUUACUUCUUCACUCUUCUUUAAAGUUCUUUAAUGAUUUUCAAACAACAUGUUAAAUCUUAUUUUAUUGUCCCUAAAAUUAUGGGUAAAAAGGGUAGAAAAAUGAAAUUUAUCUGAAUUAUAUUUGUUAAUGAAAGCAUUUUUUUUUGACUGUGUGUAACC